CUGAGAUAAUGAGUGGGCUGGACAUGCCGAGAGAUGAGUUUGGAUUGAUCUGCGGUGUUGCAUCUUGUGUCUAUAAAAUGAGCUGCUCGUAAUACGUAGAUAAUCCUGUCUACUGCAGUAAAAUAUAUUAUGUUAGCCAUGGAGAACUGCAAAUAUGUUGCUAUUGCUCUCAAUAACAUUGCUGCCCUGAAUUUAUAAGGCGCUAUCAACAAAGUUGUGAUGGACUACUUUCUGGACAAUGAUCGUGCCAUGCAAUGCUGACUCUCUCUCAUUUCAUAACAUGUUUUGAAAUCAGUGGAAUACAAUGGGCAAAACAAGCUGUGCAAACUAAACGGAAACAACACAGGAUGUCUUAUAAAAGAGGUUGCGGUCUGCCGUGAAGCUUUCAUCCAUGUAUACAGCAUUAAUCAGUAGAACACGCCUGACUCUAAUCCACCAGUCAUACAGUCUGGUGUUGUCGCCAAGGAGCGUUUGAACUGUCGGGACCAGGUUUCAGCUUCUGCGUAACGCUGACGUCCUUCUCUCAUAGAUGGUCUGCCUGUAAAAGCACCACCUGGACUGGACACAGCCAGACAAACUAUCUUUUUGACAAGAUCAGGGAGUUUUGUGAUGAAGAGGCUAUGGACAUCACAUGCCCAGCACCAAAGUCAAGGGCGUGACAGAAACAGGCUCUCCGAAUAUAGAUUCACGUGUUCAUGUGUGGUUUGGACGGACCAGUCAUCCACACAAUCUGCAGUGCAUCUACUCACAUGACUCUCUCCUAAAACACCUAGCAAAAUAUUGAUAUAUAAAAUGAAUAUUGAUGUGUGUGGUCGUAACAUGAUUUUGAGACAUACCACAACAAUAUCAUGUGACCGUAUCAAGUGUCCACCACUUAAAUAUAUGGCGCAUGCAUCUGUUGCAUGGCCUACUAUGUGAUAAGUGCAUCUGCAACAGUAUAUAAAGUAUGCUAAUGUACUGGUGUGAAGGCAUUUGGGCAGUGGUACAAAAAUACUUUAAAGUACUACUUAUGUCGUUUUUGUGGUAUCUGUACAUUACUUUACUAUUUCUAUUUUUGGUAACUUUUACUUCAAUACAGUCGUAAAGAAAAUAAUGUACUUUUUACUCCAUACAUUUUCCUUGUCAAAAGUACUCGUUACAUUUUGACAGGAAAAUUGUCCAAUUCAAACACUUAUCAAGAAAACAUCCCUGGUCAUCCAUACUGCCUCUGAUCUGGCAGACUCACUAAACGCAAAUGCUUCGUUUGUAAAUUAUGUCUGAGUGUUGGAGUGUGCCUCUGGCUAUCCAUCAAUACAAAAAUUGUGCUGUCUGGUUUGCUUAAUAUAAAGUAGUUGAAAUGGUUUAUAUUUUUACUUUUACUUUUGAUACUUAAGUACAUUGUGCCCCUGGCUAUCCGGCAAUACUGUUUUUUAAAAUAUAAAUACAAUUGUGCUGUCUGGUUUAAUAUAGGGAAUUUGUAAUCAUUUAAACUUUUACUCAAGUAUGACAAUUUAGUACUUUUUCCACCACUGGAUGUGGCUUGGGGUUAUAGCAUUUCUUUCACAUGACCCAUCAAUUUAGACAAGUGUGUCUGGGUAAGCGUCAUCUAAUAUUUAUUUUAAAAAAUGAUCUGGACACUUUCUGUUUACCUGGAAUUGUUCCUUAUUGUAGGCUACUACCACUUUUAGUCUUUAGCACAUGACCUCACGUGAAUCCUGAAAGAGAUGGGUGGGGCUGACUUAAGAGGGCGUGAACAAUGCUGAAUGGGUGUAGACAAAGGAGAGCUCUCUAGUAUGUACUGAAACAUUCAAAGGCCCUUUUCUCAAAAGUGAGUUUACAAGUGUAUCAACUUUCAAAGAAUAAUUACUUUCCAAUUGUUCCUAAAAAAUGCAGUGUAUGAUAUACCAUUUUGGAGCUCUGAGUCUCUACUUUUAUCCAAUGUAACAAACAGAAAUUCAAAUGUUGCUACAUAAGACCGAAUCCAUGUUGUGAGUCACAUUUACAGUUACCGUCAUACCCUGAUCUGUUUCACCUGUCUUGUGAUUGUCUCCACCCCCUGCAGGUGUCGCUUAUUAUCCCUGGUGUAUAUAUCCCUGUGUUUUUUUUUUUUUUACCCUUGCCUGUUUUCUGGACUCCGUACCCGCCUCCCUGACCAUUCUGCCUGCCUUGACCUCGAGCCUGCCUGCCACUCUGUACCUCCUGGACUCUGAACUGGUUUUGACCUUUUGCCUAUCCACGACCAUUCUCUUGCCUACCCCUUUUGGAUUGUUUAGUAAAUAUCAAGACUCAAACCAUCUGCCUCCCGUGUCUGCAUCUGGGUCUCGCCUUGUGCCCUUAUAGUUACAGCUGAUUUAGGGAUUGUAUAUCGAUUUGCUGUCCUGAAAUAUAAGUAAUCUGAUUUAUUUGUUUCAGUCUCUGAAUUGUUCAAUCAAGGUUUUCGCUGCCAGAUCCUGAUAUCAGGGUAUAAAAAACCCAAUCUUCCUGAAUUAGCC
rnacentral:lncRNA from 1 species